rnacentral:rRNA from 1 species
CGUAGGGGGCAAGCGUUGUCCGGAUUUUAUUGGGCGUAAAGAGCGUGUAGGCGGCCAGACAGGUCCGUUGUGAAAACUGGAGGCUUAACCUUCAGACGUCGAUGGAAACCGUCGGGCUAGAGUCCGGAAGAGGAGAGUGGAAUUCCUGGUGUAGCGGUGAAAUGCGCAGAUAUCAGGAAGAACACCCGUGGCUAAGGCGGCUCUCUAGUACGGUACUGACGCUGAGACGCGAAAGCGUGGGGAGCAAACAGGAUUAGAUACCCUGGUAGUCCACGCCGUAAACGAUGGGUGCUAGGUGUGGGGGGUGGUCGACUCCCUCCGUGCCGAAGCUAACGCAUUAAGCACCCCGCCCUGGGGAGUACGGCCGCAAGGCUA